rnacentral:rRNA from 1 species
UACGUAGGGUGCAAGCGUUGUCCGGAAUUAUUGGGCGUAAAGAGUUCGUAGGCGGUCUGUCGCGUCUGCUGUGAAAACUCGGGGCUUAACCCCGGGCCUGCAGUGGGUACGGGCAGACUAGAGUGCGGUAGGGGAAACUGGAAUUCCUGGUGUAGCGGUGAAAUGCGCAGAUAUCAGGAGGAACACCGGUGGCGAAGGCGGGUCUCUGGGCCGUAACUGACGCUGAGGAGCGAAAGCAUGGGGAGCGAACAGG